GAUGAAGAACGCAGCGAAAUGCGAUAAGUAAUGUGAAUUGCAGAAUUCAGUGAAUCAUCGAAUCUUUGAACGCACCUUGCACCCUUUGGCAUUCCGAAGGGUAUGCUCGUUUGAGUGUCAUUGUACUCUCACUCUCCCGAUGCUUUUGGAUCGGGAGUGGUGGACUUGGGUGUUGCUGCUUUGCUGUGGCUCGCCUCAAAUGGAGUAGUGCAACUCUUGGUUGGACAUAGUACGGCGUGAUAAGUGUCUUCGCCGGCGCCUCAUUAUAGAGGGUGGCCGAUCGGGAGCUCUGCGCUUCAAACCGUCUUCGGACAACAUCUGACAACUUGACCUCAAAUCGAGUAGGACUACCCGCUGAACUUAAGCAUAUCAAUAAGCGGAGGA
rnacentral:misc_RNA from 1 species